UUGUCUUCAGGGCAGGGUGUAAUUCCCGACCGGCGGUAAUAAUUGCUGAAAAUUUUCAACAACUUAGUUUGGUAAGAGAACGAGAGUGAUUUAAGUCCGCGAGCUGCAGGGCAGCUGAUCUGGUGCGAUUCCAGAACCGACAGUAUAGUCUGGAUGGGAGAAGACU
rnacentral:ncRNA from 1 species